rnacentral:rRNA from 1 species
GACGAACGCUGGCGGCGUGCUUAACACAUGCAAGUCGAACGGAAAGGCCCUGCUUUUGUGGGGUGCUCGAGUGGCGAACGGGUGAGUAACACGUGUGUAACCUGCCCUUGACUUUGGGAUAACUUCAGGAAACUGGGGCUAAUACCGGAUAGGAGCUCCUGCUGCAUGGUGGGGGUUGGAAAGUUUCGGCGGUUGGGGAUGGACUCGCGGCUUAUCAGCUUGUUGGUGGGGUAGUGGCUUACCAAGGCUUUGACGGGUAGCCGGCCUGCGAGGGUGACCGGCCACAUUGGGACUGAGAUACGGCCCAGACUCCUACGGGAGGCAGCAGUGGGGAAUAUUGCACAAUGGGCGGAAGCCUGAUGCAGCAACGCCGCGUGCGGGAUGACGGCCUUCGGGUUGUAAACCGCUUUCGCCUGUGACGAAGCGUGAGUGACGGUAAUGGGUAAAGAAGCACCGGCUAACUACGUG